GGACAAUUAAAACUUUGCAACCACUUUUAAAUCUCUUCUUUUAUUUACUUUCAAAUAAAUUCCUAUAAUUACCGAGUUGAACGACAAUCCCUGUGGAGACGAUAACUUACUACUUUAUUACUGGAGUAUUCGAUACACUUGCUGAUUCAUACCAUUAGACAAUUGUGAGUGUUGGUCCAUAGAAGCUCGGUGUCGCAGACCCUGUUGGUUGUUCACCUUCGGUUUGUUUGCUCCUGCGCCACGGACCUUGGUUGCGGUUAUGGUGCAUAAGGAAGGAAAUCCUUAUGUACCCUACAUAAAUC
rnacentral:lncRNA from 1 species